CGGCGGAUGGGUGAGUAUCACGUGGGCAACCUGCCUGUAAGAUCGGGAUAACUCGCGGAAACGUGAGCUAAUACCGGAUGAAGUCUUACGCCACCUGGCGUAAGGAUGAAAGAUGGCCUUUGUGCUAUCACUUACAGAUGGGCCCGCGGCGCAUUAGCUAGUUGGUAGGGUAAUGGUCUACCAAGGCGACGAUGCGUAGCCGACCUGAGAGGGUGAUCGGCCACACUGGGACUGAGACACGGCCCAGACUCCUACGGGAGGCAGCAGUAGGGAAUCUUCCGCAAUGGACGAAAGUCUGACGGAGCAACGCCGCGUGAGUGAUGAAGGUCUUCGGAUCGUAAAACUCUGUUGUCAGGGAAGAACAAGUGACGUUCGAAUAGGGCGUGACCUUGACGGUACCUGACCAGAAAGCCCCGGCUAACUACGUGCCAGCAGCCGCGGUAAUACGUAGGGGGCAAGCGUUGUCCGGAAUUAUUGGGCGUA
rnacentral:rRNA from 1 species